AGUGAACGCUGGCGGCAGGCCUAACACAUGCAAGUCGAGCGGCAGCGCGUCCGACCACCCUCGGGUGUCGGAUGGCGGCGAGCGCGGACGGGUGAGGAAUGCAUCGGAAUCUGCCUCGUUGUGGGGGAUAACGUAGGGAAACUUACGCUAAUACCGCAUACGACCUACGGGGUGAAAGUGGGGGGACCUUCGGGCCUCACGCGAUGAGAUGAGCCGAUGCCGGAUUAGCUAGUUGGCGGGGUAAAGGCCCACCAAGGCGACGAUCCGUAGCUGGUCUGAGAGGAUGAUCAGCCACACUGGAACUGAGACACGGUCCAGACUCCUACGGGAGGCAGCAGUGGGGAAUAUUGGACAAUGGGGGCAACCCUGAUCCAGCCCAUGCCGCGUGUGUGAAGAAGGCCU
rnacentral:rRNA from 1 species